rnacentral:rRNA from 1 species
UACGUAGGGGGCAAGCGUUGUCCGGAUUUAUUGGGCGUAAAGAGCGUGUAGGCGGCUUCACAGGUCCGCUGUGAAAACUCGAGGCUCAACCUCGAGCUGUCGGUGGAAACCGUGUGGCUAGAGUCCGGAAGAGGAGAGUGGAAUUCCCGGUGUAGCGGUGAAAUGCGCAGAUAUCAGGAAGAACACCAAUGGCGAAGGCAGCUCUCUGGGACGGUACUGACGCUGAGACGCGAAAGCGUGGGGAGCGAACAGG